rnacentral:rRNA from 1 species
AACGCUGGCGGCGUGCUUAACACAUGCAAGUCGAACGGAAAGGCCCUGCUUUUGUGGGGUGCUCGAGUGGCGAACGGGUGAGUAACACGUGAGUAACCUGCCCUUGACUUUGGGAUAACUUCAGGAAACUGGGGCUAAUACCGGAUAGGAGCUCCUGCUGCAUGGUGGGGGUUGGAAAGUUUCGGCGGUUGGGGAUGGACUCGCGGCUUAUCAGCUUGUUGGUGGGGUAGUGGCUUACCAAGGCUUUGACGGGUAGCCGGCCUGAGAGGGUGACCGGCCACAUUGGGACUGAGAUACGGCCCAGACUCCUACGGGAGGCAGCAGUGGGGAAUAUUGCACAAUGGGCGGAAGCCUGAUGCAGCAACGCCGCGUGCGGGAUGACGGCCUUCGGGUUGUAAACCGCUUUCGCCUGUGACGAAGCGUGAGUGACGGUAAUGGGUAAAGAAGCACCGGCUAACUACGUGCCAGCAGCCGCGGUGAUACGUAGGGUGCGAGCGUUGUCCGGAUUUAUUGGGCGUAAAGGGCUCGUAGGUGGUUGAUCGCGUCGGAAGUGUAAUCUUGGGGCUUAACCCUGAGCGUGCUUUCGAUACGGGUUGACUUGAGGAAGGUAGGGGAGAAUGGAAUUCCUGGUGGAGCGGUGGAAUGCGCAGAUAUCAGGAGGAACACCAGUGGCGAAGGCGGUUCUCUGGGCCUUUCCUGACGCUGAGGAGCGAAAGCGUGGGGAGCGAACAGGCUUAGAUACCCUGGUAGUCCACGCUGUAAACGGUGGGUACUAGGUGUGGGGUCCAUUCCACGGGUUCCGUGCCGUAGCUAACGCUUUAAGUACCCCGCCUGGGGAGUACGGCCGCAAGGCUAAAACUCAAAGGAAUUGACGGGGCCCCGCACAAGCGGCGGAGCAUGCGGAUUAAUUCGAUGCAACGCGUAGAACCUUACCUGGGUUUGACAUGGAUCGGGAGUGCUCAGAGAUGGGUGUGCCUCUUUUGGGGUCGGUUCACAGGUGGUGCAUGCCUGUCGUCAGCUCGUGUCGCGAGAUGUUGGGUUAAGUCCCGCAACGAGCGCAACCCUUGUUCACUGUUGCCAGCACGUUAUGGUGGGGACUCAGUGGAGACCGCCGGGGUCAACUCGGAGGAAGGUGGGGAUGACGUCAAGUCCUCAUGCCCCUUAUGUCCAGGGCUUCACGCAUGCUACAAUGGCUGGUACAGAGAGUGGCGAGCCUGUGAGGGUGAGCGAAUCUCGGAAAGCCGGUCUCAGUUCGGAUUGGGGUCUGCAACUCGACCUCAUGAAGUCGGAGUCGCUAGUAAUCGCAGAUCAGCAACGCUGCGGUGAAUACGUUCCCGGGGCUUGUACACACCGCCCGUCAAGUCAUGAAAGUUGGUAACACCCGAAGCCGGUGGCCUAACCGUUGUGGGGGAGCCGUCGAAGGUGGGACUGGUGAUUAGGA